UCGCCUUCCACUUUGGGCAGAGAAAUGUCCAUGUCGCCCUUCACCUUUGGACCUUUCAGAUUCAGGUCAACUUCAGGCAUAGAGAUCUUCGGUGCCUUGAGGUGUAAGUCAGGCAUUUUAAAUUUGGGGCCCUUCAGUUUCCCUUCUGGACCAUGAAUAUCAAUAUCAGGAGUGUCAAUGUCCACUUUGGGUCCUGAGACAUCAAUGUCAGCUUUGGGCAAAUUAACAUCCACUUCUGGGCCCUCUCCUUUAAAUCCUGGCAUGCUGAAUUUGGGCAUUUUCACCUUGGGCAUCUUCAGGUGCCAGUCUGGGCCAUGAACAUCCACAUCUGGGGCAUCAAUGUCCACUUUGGGCCCUCUGAUGUCAACAUCUGGCACUUUCAUUUCACCUUCUACCUUGGGAACAGACACAUCCAUAUCUGGGGCAUCAAUGUCCAUUUUGGGUCCUUUGAUGUCAACAUCUGGCACUUUCAUUUCACCUUCUACCUUGGGCACAGACACAUCCAUAUCCCCUUUGACUUUGGGGCCUUUCAGGUGUAAGUCCACAUCAGGCAUGGAGAUCUUGGGGGCCUUGAAGUGCAUCUCAGGCAUCUUAAACUUGGGCCCUUUCAACUUUGCAUCAGGACACUCCA
rnacentral:lncRNA from 1 species